GGGCGUGUAACUCAGUGGUAGAGUGCUCGCUUCGCACCCGUCUGGGGUACCUGAAAUGCGAGAAGUCCAGGGUUCAACUCCCUGCUCGUCCA